GUAGGUGAACCUGCGGAAGGAUCAUUAUCGAAUAAACUGGGUGGGUUGUUGCUGUCCCUCUCGGGGGAACUGUGCACGCCUUACCUUUUUUGUUUUUCCACCUGUGAACACACUGUAGGUCUGGAGGGAAGGGAAGCAAUUCCUUGACGUUCAGGUCCUAUGCUUAUACAUAUACACUAUUGAAAGUAACAGAACGAUUCAAUGGGCUCUAAGCCUAUAAACUAUAUACAACUUUCAGCAACGGAUCUCUUGGCUCUC
rnacentral:misc_RNA from 1 species